GGGUAUAGCUCAGUGGUAGAGCACAUGCUUAGCAUGCAUGAGUUCCUGGGUUCAAUCCCCAGUACUUCCA
rnacentral:tRNA from 1 species